GGGUUGUGAGGUUAAGCGACUAAGCGUACACGGUGGAUGCCCUGGCAGUCAGAGGCGAUGAAGGRCGUGCUAAUCUGCGAUAAGCGCCGGUAAGGUGAUAUGAACCGUUAUAACCGGCGAUACCCGAAUGGGGAAACCCAGUGUGACUCGUCACACUAUCAUUAACUGAAUCCAUAGGUUAAUGAGGCGAACCGGGGGAACUGAAACAUCUAAGUACCCCGAGGAAAAGAAAUCAACCGAGAUUCCCCCAGUAGCGGCGAGCGAACGGGGAGGAGCCCAGAGCCUGAAUCAGCAUGUGUGUUAGUGGAAGCGUCUGGAAAGGCGCGCGAUACAGGGUGACAGCCCCGUACACAAAAGCGCAUGUGCUGUGAG
rnacentral:rRNA from 1 species